AGGAAUUGAGAGGAUUUUCUCCGUAAGUGCCCUUAUAAAAACCGCCCACCACUUUGGUUCCGUUUUUUUUUUGGUGCUUUGGCAGGGCUGGGGCUGCUGAAGAGGCACCUAGCCUGGGCGCUGGUUUUUUUUUUUGGCUUGGAGGAGUUGGGAGUUCGUUACACUUCAUCUUUAAAAGCCAAAUUUGUGAGCCUCCUCAUUGACACUGGGCCGGUAGAAGCCGUUGGAUAUUUUCGAAGAAGACUUGGAUUCUUUUUAUUUUCCUGCCGUCCCCGCUUUUAUCCCUCCUCACUUGUCCUGUCUUUAGCUCAAUCUUUGGUAACCUCCCAACGGAGAUGAAGACGUGGAAAAAAAAAAAAAAGUUAAACAGGAGUGGUGGUGGGGAGAGGGCGGAGAUCAUGUGAGGGAUGGCCUCCACCCCCCUGGCCCACUCCCCUGCGGUUAGGAAGAUCUUUCUCCUCUGACUUUUCUUUUUUCAACUAGCUGCCCCAGGCUUGAAAUGGGCAGAAAGUGCAUUGUGAAGUGUUUUGAAACGAAAACAUCCCCUUCACCCCACCCCCGCACGCACACACACCACUUUUAGUACCAAUCCUGACCGCCUGCAUUUUUUAGGGAGAGCGUUAACUUUUAAAGUAUUUACUCACAAAUGUUGGGGUCUUAAGAGCUCCUUGCACGUCUCCUCGCCUUUCCGCUGCAGUCAGCCGCCCCCAGUCCUCAUAGCCUUUUUGGCAUUUCAGCUAUCCACUCGUGGCAUUUUCUGCUGUAGCAGCACUCAAUAACUAAGACACAUGGGAUCACCAUGAGCUGGAAUUGACUCAACAGCAACUGACAACCUCAGAACUCGGCCUGUGAGCAACAGUCCUGCUCUUCGACCUGCUGAUCUUGGGUUCGCCAGCCCCUGCAGCUACGUGAAUCAGGAGAAGCCUUGCAGUCUUGCCUGCCCAUCUUGGCAUUCAUCAACAUUCACAGUCUGUGAGCAAGAGCGCUGCCCUCUGACCUGCUGAUCUUGGAUUUGAUAAUCCCUGCCGCUAUGUGAAUCAGGAGAAGCCUCUAUCAUGAUCCACGGACUUCGGACGUUUCAGACUUUAAAAUUGCGUGAGCUGUUUCCUUGGUAUGAAUCUCUCUCUAUAUAUAUAUUUAUAUGCUUUACUGGUUUUGCUUCUUUAGAGAACCCAGCCUAAGGCAGAUGGAUUCUGAGCUAUUAGCUUGAUUUAUUGAGACAGAGAUCUGGGGUCAACUAGUAAUGUCUGCCAAGGACAUAGACUGGAAGAAUGUAAGGGUUGGGCAAGCAUGACAGAUAUUUUUGUCAGGCUGACAUAUAUUUGUAUAUUGCCUCUUGCAUCAUCUCCUGACCAUUUUUUUUGACAUUGCUGAUGACAGCCUCUGCCUUCAAGGUCUGAGCCCUCAGUGUCUGAAUCACAAUGCCAGUCUUCUAGGUCUUUGUUACUCAAAGUGUGAUUCUAUCCAUCCUCCCCACCCCCAGCAGCAUCAUUGCCUGGGAGCUUGUUAGAAAAUCAGAAUCUGGGGUCCCACCACAUUCCUACUGAAUCAGGAGCUGCAUUUUAACAAGAAUCCCAGGGGAUUUGUUUGUACAUUCAAGUGUGAGGAGCACUGGUCUAGAGUACAUCCUUUUUCAAAUGCACCUGCCCCUGCCUCAGUAGCCAGAAUCAUCCUCUUCCAGGAAGAUGCUGGCUCAGGCCCAGGUCUAAGUAUUCCCAACAGGCUCUAAUACUUAACCCAGUAGAAUCAGGUGGAUUUAUGGACCAUUUCAGUUGAGGCAUGAAGACUUCAGGACAUCUCCCCCCCACCCCACUGGAAAAACCUUACAGGAUUCUCUGGCUUUUCUCACUAGAGGUUUAAGUGCCUCUGGAUCUGCUGGCCACACCUCUAUAGCUCAGCACCACGUCCAUUCCUAUUUGAGAGUCUUCAGAGUCUCCCCAGGGCCUCAAGAAUCCAGCCCAAACUGUCCACCCUACCCUUUGAGACCUUUCCCUUUCUCACACAGGGGCCCUGGGAGUUCAGGUAGAGUUGAACAGUGCAGAGACUCAGAGGAGAAAUAGUUGCUGAGUCUAGAAGCAAUAGCUGCUCAUUCAAUCAUUUGUUCAACCAGUGUUUGUUGAGAAUAUUCUGUGCCAAGUGUUGGAGAUAUAGCAAUGAAUACAACGUGGUUUCUGCCCUUGAGGAAAAGAGUCAUUUAAACAAGUAAUUACAAUAUAAUGUGAUACAAAAGGCAAGUGCUAGGGUUGUCGGUAAAAAGAAGGGAUAAGGGCAUUCCAUUCAGAAGGCAAAGGCAUGGAGGAGUGAAAGAACAUGGCAUGAUCAGGGACUGAUAGGCAGAACAGUGUGCCUGGAACAUAGGAUGAGUGUAGAGGAGAGUGGCAGGGCUGAUCUGAGUGAGGAUUUGGGGCUGAUCCCCAGCAAAUUUUAAAUCUCAUACUGGCUUCCUUGGGCCUGCAGCACAUGUCCACCCCUGCCUGCUCUCUGCACCCACUUAGGGGAGAUGAUCUCAUUUCUAUACUGACUUGAGCCAGUAAGAAUCAGGAGACAUUUACAGACACAGGCACACAGACACAGACACACACGAGAGGGCAUGUCAAAGCCAAACAUUAGCAGGCUUUGGAUCUGUGCCCUAGCUCCCAACCCAUGACUGACUGGAUUCCAUCCUUACUAACAAUCCCUUGUUCACACCAACAGGAGCAGGAGUGGUCAGUGAAUUAACUUCCUGGGCAAGAGCUCUAAGGCAGGACUUGAGGUCUCCAAGACGUGAGACAUGGCUAAUGAUGGGGCAGGUUUGGCCACACAAAUGUACCAGAUAUGACAGUGUGCCUGUGCCUGUGCCUGUGUAUAUGGAUAUAUAUGUAUGAGUGUAUGUGUGCACAGCUUGGGGAAGGGGUGUGUGUUGGUUACCUCUCAGUCUCAGGAGAUAUAACUCCAAUUCCUUGUCAGAGAAGGAAAGAUAGACUGUUCCAUUGAUACCCGCCCGGGAUGAAUGUGAGAAACUUCUCUGGGGGGUCAAAAAUUGAGGUUUCUUUAAAACAUAACUUCAAAUUCUUUGACAUUUUUAUGGAGAGGUGAGGUCUCUGUUCCCUUACCUUGAACUUGGACUGCUUUGAGCAAUCUGGGAUGCUAUGGGACAACGAGGCUGGAUCAUGAAAGGCCAUGCAGCUUCAACCUUGUUCACUGGAACCCUCACCCUUUGAGCUGCCUGAGCUGCAAGCUAAGAAGUCAGACUACCCUGAGGCCACCAUGCUGGAGAGGCCACGUGUAGGUGCUCUGGUUGAUAGUUCUUCCUUAGCCCAGACUUUCAGCCUUUCCCACUCACACACCAGAUAUGUGAGUGAAGCCAUCUUGGAUCCUCCAGGCCAGCCCAUCCACCAGCUGAAUUUCAUCAGGUAUCCUCACUGACACCAUGUAGAAGAGAAGAAUCAUCCAGCCAAGCCCUGCCCAAAUUCAUGACUCAUAAAAUUGUGAGAUACAAUAAAAUGGUUG